GGCCAUUUUGAGCGUGGCUGGGAAGAGAAGUGUAUUCGGAUGCUGCAAGGGACCUCGACGCGGGUUCCUUGCCUCAGCAGAGGUUUUCGAUCGGCCUUAUGUCCCGCGGCUGGCAGGACACUUAGAGCUCACUUGCUGUUUUCGUUGAAAGACCGACCCUUUUGAUAAAGACUGCUGGGGAAGGCGACGAAUUCCUUUCCCCAGGUCGCAUUCUAUGGGCAGGCACCAAGGCCAAUUGCGUUUCCCACAAAGCCCCGCACGGAGCAGGUGACACAGUAGAUGCCUAACGUGUGUCCAUGUAAUGAACCAGGGGCUUGUGUACUUGUUUCCGCCUUCCACCCUGCAUUA
rnacentral:lncRNA from 1 species